GUUUCACCAUAUUGGCCAGGCUGAUCUCAUACUUUUGACCUCGUGAUCCAUCUGCCUCAGACUUCCAAAGUGCUGGGAUUACAGGCAUGAGCCACUACGCCCGGCCUGCAAUUGUGGAACUUUUAUUAUGUCCCAGUGUCAAAAAGGUGAAGCCACGAGAUGAGCAGGAUGCAAGAAAUGCUGGAGUCCUUCAUCAGAGUUGUAAAUGGCACUUGUGACAAAAAUCAAAGUAACUAAAAAAGAAUCUGGUUGGAACCUCAGUAACAACUGGCCUGUCUACUACCUCACACUAACAAGUGGGAGCUAAUAAAACCCAGGCCAGAGCACACAAUGUGGAAAAGAAAACUUUAUUCUUGUCAAUGGAUGGAGGGUGGGUAAGUGCCUGGGUAACAGCCUGUUUUUUCCUAUCUGCUCCUAUUGUGGCAGGCAAGAGAGCUUGUGCAGGGGAUCUCCCAUUGAUACAACCAUCAGAUCUUGUGAGACUU